GUCCACGCUGUAAACGAUGAGCACUAGGUGUUGCGGGUAUUGACCCCUGCAGUGCCGACGCUAACGCAUUAAGUGCUCCGCCUGGGGAGUACGGCCGCAAGGCUAAAACUCAAAGGAAUUGACGGGGGCCCCGCACAAGCGGUGGAGUAUGUGGUUUAAUUCGACGCAACGCGCAGAACCUUACCCGGGUUUGACAUCGAGGUAAGACUCCCAGAAAUAGGAGUCGCCCCUUCGGGGGACCAAAGACAGGUGCUGCAUGGCUGUCGU
rnacentral:rRNA from 1 species